rnacentral:piRNA from 1 species
UUAGUCUACCCAAGCUAAGGAACUCUGGUC